rnacentral:rRNA from 1 species
UGGGGAAUAUUGGACAAUGGGCGAAAGCCUGACCCAGCCACGCCGCGUGAGUGAUGAAGGCCUUUGGGUCGUAAAGCUCUGUGGGGAAGGACGAAAAAACAUUGGCUAAUAUCCAAUGGCUUGACGGUACUUCCUUAGCAAGCACCGGCUAACUCUGUGCCAGCAGCCGCGGUAAUACAGAGGGUGCAAACGUUGCUCGGAAUCAUUGGGCGUAAAGCGCACGUAGGCGGCCUGAUAAGUCGGUAGUGAAAGCCCUCGGCUUAACCGAGGAAGUGCUAUCGAAACUGCCAGGCUUGAGUACCGGAGAGGAUCGCGGAAUUCCCGGUGUAGAGGUGAAAUUCGUAGAUAUCGGGAGGAACACCAGUGGCGAAGGCGGCGAUCUGGACGGAUACUGACGCUGAGGUGCGAAAGCGUGGGGAGCAAACAGGAUUAGAUACCCAUGUAGUCCCUGAGCGGGCUGGCAAGGCGCAU